rnacentral:rRNA from 1 species
AUGGCGUCCUCCUCCCAGCCCCACCGAGAAGCAGAGGAGGAGGAGCUCCGGCACCGCGGCCAUGGCGACGGCAUCACCUCCCCGCUCCUGCCGUCCACGUCGCGGAGCUCGCCGGAGCCCGACGACGACGAGGAGGAGAACUCGCCGAUCGAGCAGGUGGCGCUGACGGUGCCCGUGGGCGACGACCCGGACACCCCCGUGCUCACCUUCCGGAUGUGGGUCCUCGGCAUGGCGUCCUGCGCCGUGCUCUCCUUCCUCAACCAGUUCUUCUGGUACCGCAAGGAGCCGCUCACCAUCACGGCCAUCUCGGCCCAGAUCGCCGUCGUGCCGCUGGGCCGCCUCAUGGCGGCCGCGCUGCCGGAGCGGGCCUUCUUCCGCGGCAGGCCGUACGAGUUCACCCUCAACCCGGGGCCGUUCAACGUGAAGGAGCACGUGCUGAUCACCAUCUUCGCCAACGCCGGCGCCGGCACCGUGUACGCCAUCCACGUGGUCACCGCCGUCCGCGUCUUCUACGGCAAGAACCUCACCUUCCUCGUCUCCCUCCUCGUGGUGCUCACCACGCAGGUGCUCGGGUUCGGGUGGGCGGGGAUUUUCCGGCGGUACCUCGUGGAGCCGGCGGCCAUGUGGUGGCCGUCCAACCUCGUGCAGGUCUCCCUCUUCAGGGCGCUCCACGAGAAGGAGGUGCGGAGCAAAGGCGGCUUCACGCGCAGCCAGUUCUUCCUGGUGGCCUUCGUCUGCAGCUUCGUCUACUACAUAUUCCCAGGUUACCUGUUCCAGAUGCUCACCUCCCUCUCCUGGAUCUGUUGGGUCUUCCCCAACUCCGUGUUCGCCCAGCAGCUCGGCUCGGGCCUCUACGGCCUCGGGAUCGGCUCCAUCGGCCUCGACUGGGCGUCCGUCUCCUCUUACCUUGGGAGCCCCCUCGCCAGCCCCUGGUUCGCCACCGCCAACGUCGCCGCAGGAUUCUUCAUCAUCAUGUACGUGAUCACGCCCAUCGCGUACUGGUUCAACUUCUACAAGGCGCGGAAUUUUCCCAUCUUCUCUGAUGGGCUCUUCACCGAGUCCGGGCAGAAGUACAACAUCACGAGCAUCGUGGACUCCCAGUUCCAUUUCGACACGAAGGCCUAUGAGAAGAAUGGACCGCUGUACCUCAGCACCUUCUUCGCUGUCACGUACGGUGUUGGUUUUGCAUCCCUUACUGCGACGAUCGUCCAUGUCCUCCUCUUCCACGGAAGUGAAAUCUGGCAGUUAAGUAAAUCAGCUUUUCAAGAGAAGAGAGUGGACGUACAUACAAAGCUUAUGAGGAGAUAUAAGCAGGUCCCUGAGUGGUGGUUCAUCUGCAUCCUUAUUGUUAACAUUGCAGUCACCGUAUUUGCUUGUGAAUACUACAUCGAGCAACUCCAGCUGCCCUGGUGGGGUGUACUGCUGGCAUGUGCCAUUGCCUUUUUCUUUACCCUCCCAAUCGGAAUUAUCACAGCAACUACGAACCAGGUUCACAAUCUGACAACUUGCAUAUCAUACCAUACAACUCUAGACCACCAGUUCCCUGAUUUUUUAUUCUUCCAUUAUAUGCAGACUCCGGGAUUGAACAUUAUCACAGAGUACAUCAUGGGGUACCUGUACCCUGGACGGCCCGUCGCGAAUAUGUGCUUCAAGGUAUAUGGCUACAUCAGCAUGAGCCAAGCUCUGACGUUUCUGCAAGAUUUUAAGUUGGGCCACUACAUGAAGAUUCCCCCAAGGACCAUGUUCAUGGCUCAGGUAAGCUUUUACUCAAAUAGAUUUUCUGUCCUUUCUACUGCACAAGUACUCCUGUUGUAUUGUGUCACUAAGCAACUUCUUGAAACAUGGCAGGUGGUGGGAACUCUGAUUGCGGCAUUUGUGUACCUCGGAACGGCAUGGUGGCUGAUGGACUCAAUCCCCAACAUCUGCGACACCGAGCUCCUCCCAGCAGGCAGCCCUUGGACCUGCCCCGGUGAUCAUGUGUUCUACGACGCAUCAGUCAUAUGGGGUCUCAUUAGCCCACGCAGAAUAUUUGGGGACUUAGGAACUUACUCGGCGGUGAACUGGUUCUUCUUGGGGGGAGCCAUUGCCCCACUCCUCGUCUGGUUUGCACACAAGGCAUUCCCAGGCCAGAACUGGAUCUUGCUUAUCAACAUGCCCGUCUUGAUUGGUUCCACUGGCCAGAUGCCACCCGCCACUGCAGUCAACUACAUCACAUGGAUAUUCGUUGGGUUUUUGUCAGGCUAUGUGGUCUAUAGAUACCGACGUGACUGGUGGGAGCGACACAAUUAUCUGCUUUCAGGUGCGCUAGAUGCUGGUUUGGCAUUCAUGGCUGUGUUAAUUUACCUGUGCCUAGGCUUGGAGAACAUCAGUUUGAACUGGUGGGGCAAUGACUUGGAUGGAUGCCCCCUGGCUUCUUGCCCCACUGCUAAAGGUAUAUUUGUUGAGGGUUGCCCAGUGUAUACCUGA